rnacentral:rRNA from 1 species
GACAGAGGGGGCAAGCGUUGCUCGGAAUCACUGGGCGUAAAGGGCGCGUAGGUGGCCAUCUAAGUCAGACGUGAAAUCCCCCGGCUUAACCUGGGAACUGCGUCUGAUACUGGACGGCUUGAGUAUGGGAGAGGAACGUAGAAUUCCAGGUGUAGCGGUGAAAUGCGUAGAUAUCUGGAGGAAUACCGGUGACGAAGGCGGCGUUCUGGACCAUUACUGACACUGAAUCGCGAAAGCUAGGGGAGCAAACGGG